CCUACGGGUGGCAGCAGUGAGGAAUAUUGGUCAAUGGGCGAGAGCCUGAACCAGCCAAGUCGCGUGAAGGAUGACGGCCCUACGGGUUGUAAGCUUCUUUUGUCAGGGAGCAAUAGGGUCCACGCGUGGGCUUAGCGAUAGUACCUGAAGAAAAAGCAUCGGCUAACUCCGUGCCAGCAGCCGCGGUAAUACGGAGGAUGCGAGCGUUAUCCGGAUUUAUUGGGUUUAAGGGGUGCGUAGGCGGAAUAUCAAGUCAGCGGUAAAACUUCGGGGCUCAACCCCGUCGUGCCGUUGAAACUGAUGUUCUGGAGUGGGCGAGAAGUAUGCGGAAUGCGUGGUGUAGCGGUGAAAUGCAUAGAUAUCACGAAGAACUCCGAUUGCGAAGGCAGCAUACCGGCGCCCAACUGACGCUGAAGCACGAAAGCGUGGGUAUCGAACAGGAUUAGAUACCCCUGUAGUC
rnacentral:rRNA from 1 species